GGCUACCGCUAUUGGAGUUCGAUUAAGCCAUGCGAGUCGAGAGUCUUAGGGACUCGGCGUACCGCUCAGUAACACGUGGGUAACCUGCCCUAUGCUGGGGAAUAACCUCGGGAAACUGAGAAUAAUGCCCCAUAGUUCACUACGCCUGGAACGGUGAGUGGAUGAAAGCUCCGGCGGCAUAGGAUGGGCCUGCGGCGUAUCAGGUCGUAGGGGGUGUAACGUACCCUCUAGCCAUCGACGCGUACGGGUGUUGGGAGACAUAGCCCGGAGAUGGAUUCUGAGACACGAAUCCAGACCCUACGGGGUGCAGCAGGCGCGAAAACUUGGCAAUGCGAGAAAUCGUGACCAGGGAACUCCAAGUGGCUGGGGUAAGACCCAGUCUUUUCUUGACUCUUCAAAGGUCUUGGAAUAAGAGGUGGGUAAGGACGGUGCCAGCCGCCGCGGUAAUACCGGCGCCUCAAGUGGUAGUCGAUUUUAUUGGGCCUAAAACGUCCGUAGCCUGUUUGGUACAUUCGUGGGUAAAUCAACCAGCUCAACUGGUUGAAUUCUGCGAGCACGGCCAGACUUGGGACCGGGAGAGGUGUGGGGUACGCUCCGGGUAGGGGUAAAAUCCUGUCAUCCCGAGCGGACCACCUGUUGCGAAGGCGCCACACUAGAACGGAUCCGACGGUCAGGGACGAAGCCUAGGGGCACGAACCGGAUUAGAUACCCGGGUAGUCCUAGGUGUAAACGCUGUGGACUUGGUGUUGGGGAUUCCCCGAGGAUUCUCAGUGCCGAAGCGAAGGUGAUAAGUCCACUGCCUGGGGAGUACGGUCGCAAGGCUGAAACUUAAAGGAAUUGGCGGGGGAGCACCGCAACCUGAGGAUUGUGCGGUUU
rnacentral:rRNA from 1 species